AGGAGCGUCCAUAUCAGCACUAAUACAAGAGAUUCCAUCAGAACUUCGAAGUUAAGCGUGCUCGGGCGAGAAUAGUUCUAAGAUGGGCUUGUCUUAUGAUUUUCAUAGACACAGGUU
rnacentral:rRNA from 1 species